AUCGAGAAUGCAGACUCUCCCCCGACCCCGAUCUUGCCUCGCCCUCUCUUUCUUUUCUUCUCUCCUUCUCCUUCGCCUCCGCCCGAGCUGCUCCUUCUCCUCCGUCUCCACCCCCGAGCUGCCCUCGCCCUUUCUCUUUCUCAUCCUGAAGAUCUAUUGCAUCCUCACCGUGCAGAUCGUCCUCACUGUCGCGGUCUGUGCCGUCGUAGUGGCCGUUCAUCGCUGACUUCUUAGUCACGACAACCUGGAAUCACCAUCUCCAUUGUCAGCCGUGUCCUGCCUUUCAUCAUUGAGUACUACUCUCAUUUCCUUCCCGUGUUUCCUGCAAAAAAAUUGCCACUUUCCGUCUCUUCCUGUUGUGCCUCUAUCGAUUCAUCUGUUGCACCCUUCCCCCAUUUCUGAUUCAACUUUCCAGAUAUUCUUGACGAUUUUUGUCGUUUUUGUUGUCUUCCUUUCUAACUUUUAGCUUAUUGGUCAUGGAUAAUCUUGGAUUCACUGAAUGUAUUCUUGCGUGAAUCUGCUGCUAGUUCUUGAUUUCUAAGAAAUUUACUGAUUGAAUUGAUUUUUUUCUUUCUUUUUGGUUGGUUCAGUUUUGAUCCCCUUGCACAUCUGUCGGUAAAAGCACCCGUUCAAUUUUGUUAUAUGUUCCCUAACAACCACAAACGAACUGAAAGUUUACUUGAAGCAGAGCAACUCAUGGAAGGACCUAGGUGUAGUCCCUGUGGAAGCGAAUCAUAGCAGAGGAUGUGGCAUUGUUUUCAAAUCUCUAGGUGAUAGGCUUCUUGUUAUUGGUGCAGCUUGGAAUCUUGUGGAUCAUCACAGCCAAGGCAUAUCAUUUUUUUGUUGUCAGCAUGAUCCCAAUGCAAUAGAUGCUCACUGGGUUUUUCUUGGGAGGACAGAUUCUUGAUGGCUGAAGACUCAAGUAGCUUAAUCGCAUCAAGCACAAACGUGCAAACGGUGCGUCCUCUGUCAGGCUUCUGACGAGAUUAGCAGCUUCAUGUUUUAGAAUGAAUGUCGCCGGCGUCCUUUCCCCCCAGAAUUUGGCGUCAAGGAAUCAUGUGUUCUUGCUAAUUUUGAAGGGAAGAUCAACAACAGCUCUUGGUCACACAAUUCAUCUGAGUUUGACGAAUCUCUACAUUUCAAGUACUGUGUGAGUCUGUGAUCGUAGCUGCUAUAAAAGAAAGUGUAACCUAUGGCCUAUACGCAAUCCCCAAGAACAAGAGAAUGAGCGAGAGAGGAAAUAGACAGCCUUGGUUGCUUACCAUUUGUCAUCAUGAAGGCGGAGCCUUUUCUUCAGCACUUUAUUGAAGAACAAAAGGGCAAGAAGAAAAAAAAGAAGGAAAUUGUAAUGUUGCUACUCUUGUCUCUAUGUGUCCCAAUCACAUAUCAUAGACGAAAUUUCGUUUUUUAUAAUGAUUAUAAAAUUUGUGGAGUGAAUAUAAUGAUUGUUUGGUCGUAAUUGGAUAUAUAUUAUCAAAUUUGUUUACUUGAAUUCGGGUUUGAAUAUAAUGUCAUAAUGCA